GUGGGGAAUUUUGGACAAUGGGCGCAAGCCUGAUCCAGCCAUGCCGCGUGUCUGAAGAAGGCCUUCGGGUUGUAAAGGACUUUUGUCCGGGAGCAAAUACCCAGUGCUAAUAACGCUGGGGGCUGAGAGUACCGGAAGAAUAAGCACCGGCUAACUACGUGCCAGCAGCCGCGGUAAUACGUAGGGUGCAAGCGUUAAUCGGAAUUACUGGGCGUAAAGCGUGCGCAGGCGGUUUUGUAAGCCAGAUGUGAAAGCCCCGGGCUCAACCUGGGAACUGCGUUUGGAACUACAAGACUAGAGUGUGUCAGAGGGGGGUGGAAUUCCGCGUGUAGCAGUGAAAUGCGUAGAGAUGCGGAGGAACACCGAUGGCGAAGGCAGCCCCCUGGGAUAACACUGACGCUCAUGCACGAAAGCGUGGGGAGCAAACAGG
rnacentral:rRNA from 1 species